GUGAGGAAUAUUGGACAAUGGGUUAGCGCCUGAUCCAGCCAUCCCGCGUGAAGGACGACGGCCCUAUGGGUUGUAAACUUCUUUUGUAUAGGGAUAAACCUACUCUCGUGAGAGUAGCUGAAGGUACUAUACGAAUAAGCACCGGCUAACUCCGUGCCAGCAGCCGCGGUAAUACGGAGGGUGCAAGCGUUAUCCGGAUUUAUUGGGUUUAAAGGGUCCGUAGGCGGAUCUGUAAGUCAGUGGUGAAAUCUCACAGCUUAACUGUGAAACUGCCAUUGAUACUGCAGGUCUUGAGUAAAUUUGAAGUGGCUGGAAUAAGUAGUGUAGCGGUGAAAUGCAUAGAUAUUACUUAGAACACCAAUUGCGAAGGCAGGUCACUAAGAUUUAACUGACGCUGAUGGACGAAAGCGUGGGGAGCGAACAGG
rnacentral:rRNA from 1 species